rnacentral:rRNA from 1 species
UACGAAGGGGGCUAGCGUUACUCGGAUUGACUGGGCGUAAAGGGCGCGUAGGCGGUUUGUACAGUCAGACGUGAAAUUCCUGGGCUCAACCUGGGGGCUGCGUUUGAUACGUGCAGACUUGAGUUCGGAAGAGGGUCGUGGAAUUCCCAGUGUAGAGGUGAAAUGCGUAGAGAUCGGAAAGAACACCAACGGCGAAAGCACUCUGCUGGGCCGACACUGACACUGAGAGACGAAAGCUAGGGGAGCGAAUGGG